AUUGAACGCUGGCGGCAGGCCUAACACAUGCAAGUCGAGCGGAUGAAGGGAGCUUGCUCCUGGAUUCCGCGGCGGACGGGUGAGUAAUGCCUAGGAAUCUGCCUGGUAGUGGGGGAUAACGUCCGGAGACGGGCGCUAAUACCGCAUACGUCCUGAGGGAGAAAGAUGGGGUUCUUCGGACCUCACGCUAUCAGAUGAGCCUAGGUCGGAUUAGCUAGUUGGGGGGGUAAAGGCCUACCAAGGCGCCGAUCCGUAACUGGUCGGAGAGGGGGAUUAGUCGCACUGGAACGUGUACAGCGUCCAGGCGCCUAAGGGAGGGAGCAGUGGGGAAUAUGGGGCAAUGGGCGGAAACCUUGUCCAACCAGGGCGCGUGUGUGAAGGAGGUCUUCGGAUUGGAAAGCACGUUUAGGUGGGAUGAACGGCAGUAAGUUAAUACCAUGCUGUUUUGACGGUACCAACAGAAUAAGCACCGGCUAACUUCGUG
rnacentral:rRNA from 1 species